rnacentral:rRNA from 1 species
GAUGAACGCUGGCGGCGUGCUUAACACAUGCAAGUCGAACGGAGAAUUUUAUUUCGGUAGAAUUCUUAGUGGCGAACGGGUGAGUAACGCGUAGACAACCUGCCUCUUAGAUGGGGACAACAUCGCGAAAGCGGUGCUAAUACCGAAUGAAGUGGAGCUUCCGCAUGGAAGCAUCACCAAAGGUGGCCUCUAUUUAUAAGCUACCACUGAGAGAUGGGUCUGCGUCUGAUUAGCUAGUUGGCGGGGUAAUGGCCCACCAAGGCGACGAUCAGUAGCCUGUCUUAGAGGAUGAACGGCCACAUUGGGACUGAGACACGGCCCAAACUCCUACGGGAGGUAGCAGUGGGGAAUCUUCCGCAAUGGACGAAAGUCUGACGGAGCAACGCCGCGUGAGUGAAGAAGGUUUUCGGAUCGUAAAGCUCUGUUGUUUGAGACGAAUGUGCAGACUUUGAAUAAGGGUUUGUAAUGACGGUAUUAAACGAGAAAGCCACGGCUAACUACGUGCCAGCAGCCGCGGUAA